GGCGGUCGGGCCACGGCAAGUUCUCGUACUGGUUCCACCAUCGGCUCACCACCAAUGUAACAUAGAAACCUGGGGAGAGGGAAGGAGGUCCUGGAGAUGGAACUCAGAGCAUCAGGCCCAAAUGCAGGCACCUCCACGGAACUGAGCCCAGUCACCAGCCCAUGAUUUUCUCUUAAAAUAGUAUUGGAUAUUCUAUGAUCAUACCUGUCUGACACUUUAUUCUUUAUAAGAGCACUUUUUACUGAAAUAAACAGAUCAAACUGC